rnacentral:rRNA from 1 species
GAUGAACGCUGGCGGCGUGCCUAAUACAUGCAAGUAGAACGCUGAAGGAGGAGCUUGCUCUUUCCGGAUGAGUUGCGAACGGGUGAGUAACGCGUAGGUAACCUGCCUGGUAGCGGGGGAUAACUAUUGGAAACGAUAGCUAAUACCGCAUAACAGUAGAUAUUGCAUGAUAUUUGCUUGAAAGGGGCAAUUGCUCCACUACCAGAUGGACCUGCGUUGUAUUAGCUAGUUGGUGAGGUAACGGCUCACCAAGGCGACGAUACAUAGCCGACCUGAGAGGGUGAUCGGCCACACCGGGACUGAGACACGGGCCAGACUCCUACGGGGAGCAGCAGUAGGGGAUCUUCGGCAAUGGACGGAAGUCUGACCGAGCAACGCCGCGGGAGUGAAGAAGGUUUUCGGAGCGUAAAGCUCUGUUGUAAGAGAAGAACGAGUGUGAGAGUGGAAAGUUCACGCUGUGACGGUAUCUUACCAGAAAGGGACGGCUAACUACGUG